rnacentral:rRNA from 1 species
UACGAAGGGUGCGAGCGUUAAUCGGAAUUACUGGGCGUAAAGCGCGCGUAGGUGGUUCAGUAAGUUGGAUGUGAAAUCCCCGGGCUCAACCUGGGAACUGCUUUCAAAACUGCUGAGCUAGAGUACGGUAGAGGGUGGUGGAAUUUCCUGUGUAGCGGUGAAAUGCGUAGAUAUAGGAAGGAACACCAGUGGCGAAGGCGACCACCUGGACUGAUACUGACACUGAGGUGCGAAAGCGUGGGGAGCAAACAGG